UGGGGAAUAUUGCACAAUGGGCGCAAGCCUGAUGCAGCCAUGCCGCGUGUAUGAAGAAGGCCUUCGGGUUGUAAAGUACUUUCAGCGGGGAGGAAGGGAGUAAAGUUAAUACCUUUACUCAUUGACGUUACCCGCAGAAGAAGCACCGGCUAACUCCGUGCCAGCAGCCGCGGUAAUACGGAGGGUGCAAGCGUUAAUCGGAAUUACUGGGCGUAAAGCGCACGCAGGCGGUUUGUUAAGUCAGAUGUGAAAUCCCCGGGCUCAACCUGGGAACUGCAUCUGAUACUGGCAAGCUUGAGUCUCGUAGAGGGGGGUAGAAUUCCAGGUGUAGCGGUGAAAUGCGUAGAGAUCUGGAGGAAUACAGGUGGCGAAGGCGGCCCCCUGGACGAAGAUUGACGCUCAGGUGCGAAAGCGUGGGGAGCAAACAGG
rnacentral:rRNA from 1 species